rnacentral:sRNA from 13 species
UAAAAUCUUCAUUUUGAAGCGAGUUAUGCGCUUUUGAAGUUGGAGGUGAGAGAGUGAGAGACGACAGAGAAGAAGACUCCCUCUUUCUCUGCGCCUCUUACUAUCUCACCUCCAAUUUUAAAGGCGCAUAACUCGCUUCAAAAUGAAGAUUUUG